rnacentral:rRNA from 1 species
AUUGAACGCUGGCGGCAGGCUUAACACAUGCAAGUCGAGCGGGGGAAGGUAGCUUGCUACCGGACCUAGCGGCGGACGGGUGAGUAAUGCUUAGGAAUCUGCCUAUUAGUGGGGGACAACAUCUCGAAAGGGAUGCUAAUACCGCAUACGUCCUACGGGAGAAAGCAGGGGAUCUUCGGACCUUGCGCUAAUAGAUGAGCCUAAGUCGGAUUAGCUAGUGGGUGGGGUAAAGGCCUACCAAGGCGACGAUCUGUAGCGGGUCUGAGAGGAUGAUCCGCCAGACUGGGACUGUGACACGGCCCAGACUCCUACGGGAGGCAGCAGUGGGGAAUAUUGGACAAUGGGGGGAACCCUGAUCUAGCCAUGCCGCGUGUGUGAAGAAGGCCUUAUGGUUGUAAAGCACUUUAAGCGAGGAGGAGGCUACUCUAGUUAAUACCUAGGGAUAGUGGACGUUACUCGCAGAAUAAGCACCGGCUAACUCUGUGCCAGCCGCCGCCGUAA